GGCGGGUCCGCCCGCCGAUUGGACAAUUUAAACCAUUUGCAGUUGCAAUCAGCGUCUGAAAAAACUUAAUAGUUACAACUUUCAACAACGGAUCUCUUGGUUCUGGCAUCGAUGAAGAACGCAGCGAAAUGCGAUAAGUAGUGUGAAUUGCAGAAUUCAGUGAAUCAUCGAAUCUUUGAACGCACAUUGCGCCCCUUGGUAUUCCAUGGGGCAUGCCUGUUCGAGCGUCAUUUGUACCUUCAAGCUCUGCUUGGUGUUGGGUGUUUGUCUCGCCUCUGCGUGUAGACUCGCCUCAAAACAAUUGGCAGCCGGCGUAUUGAUUUCGGAGCGCAGUACAUCUCGCGCUUUGCACUCAUAACGACGACGUCCAAAAGUACAUUUUUACACUCUUGACCUCGGAUCAGGUAGGGAUACCCGCUGAACUUAAGCAUAUCGUAAGCCCGGAGAGAA
rnacentral:rRNA from 1 species